ACGCUGGCGGCGUGCCUAAUACAUGCAAGUAGAACGCUGAAGGAGGAGCUUGCUUCUCCGGAUGAGUUGCGAACGGGUGAGUAACGCGUAGGUAACCUGCCUGGUAGCGGGGGAUAACUAUUGGAAACGAUAGCUAAUACCGCAUAAGAGUAGAUGUCGCAUGACAUUUGCUUAAAAGGUGCAAUUGCAUCACUACCAGAUGGACCUGCGUUGUAUUAGCUAGUUGGUGGGGUAACGGCUCACCAAGGCGACGAUACAUAGCCGACCUGAGAGGGUGAUCGGCCACACUGGGACUGAGACACGGCCCAGACUCCUACGGGAGGCAGCAGUAGGGAAUCUUCGGCAAUGGACGGAAGUCUGACCGAGCAACGCCGCGUGAGUGAAGAAGGUUCUCGGAUCGUAAAGCUCUGUUGUAAGAGAAGAACGAGUGUGAGAGUGGAAAGUUCACACUGUGACGGUAUCUUACCAGAAAGGGACGGCUAACUACGUGCCAGCAGCCGCGGUAAUACGUAGGUCCCGAGCGUUGUCCGGAUUUAUUGGGCGUAAAGCGAGCGCAGGCGGUUAGAUAAGUCUGAAGUUAAAGGCUGUGGCUUAACCAUAGUACGCUUUGGAAACUGUUUAACUUGAGUGCAAGAGGGGAGAGUGGAAUUCCAUGUGUAGCGGUGAAAUGCGUAGAUAUAUGGAGGAACACCGGUGGCGAAAGCGGCUCUCUGGCUUGUAACUGACGCUGAGGCUCGAAAGCGUGGGGAGCAAACAGGAUUAGAUACCCCUGGUAGUCCACGCCGUAAACGAUGAGUGCUAGGUGUUAGACCCUUUCCGGGGUUUAGUGCCGCAGCUAACGCAUUAAGCACUCCGCCUGGGGAGUACGACCGCAAGGUUGAAACUCAAAGGAAUUGACG
rnacentral:rRNA from 1 species